rnacentral:lncRNA from 1 species
UACCAGCCAAGGAGAGAUUAGUGCAGAGCUGGCCAGUCUGCAACCGCCGCUUAAUCAGGCGGAAUGAACUGCCUGUUCUCCCCUGCCUGCGCUCCCACCACAUCUCCAGGGAGCUUCACUUGGGUAGAAAGUCCUUCCCCACUAAUCUCUAUCAAUCAAAAUACAGCUAGUUCAGAGGCUGGCAAUUCCUGCUUCCCCUAGCUGCCAUCAUCUGACCUCUUUCUCUCCUCCCAGAACCCUUGGUUCAAAUCUUUUUUUUUUUCCAAACAGAGGUCCCAUCUGGCCUUGUGUCGUGGUGGUUGACGUCCACGUCCAUCUUCCGUCGUCCAUCCUGAGCUUGAGGGCAGCACGCCCCGCUGAGCCUGCAUCUGUCUCAGUGCCCGUGCUUUGGUGCGCACAAGGCCGCGGGGACCCAGUGGGUCAGACUGACCGUGCUGGGCCGGCCUCUGCCUCCCCGCCUCUCUGCCUCCUGUCUUUGUGUCUUUUACUGAUGGAUUCCAAUGCUUCCACUGCGAGAAACAAAGCCCAGACAAACUUCUCUUUCUUGGAAGGGCUUACCGUAGAGCCACGAAAGUCCCAGCCAGAAAAGCGAUUGAUGUCCUGUAAAGCCUUCCUCCAGAAAUCCACUCAAUCAUUCAUUCAUGUCCUCUCUCAUUCUCCUUAAAGGCCAGGUGAGAGCUUACUGUCUGAAAUACAUCAGGUGGGGACUGGCAGGAUACAUGUAUGUGACCGCAUGUUUGUGAGACUGUUUCUUAGUAGCCUAGAGACAAGGAGAUU